rnacentral:rRNA from 1 species
UCGAGAAUCUUUCACAAUGGGCGAAAGCCUGAUGGAGCGACGCCGCGUGGGGGAUGAAUGGCUUCGGCCCGUAAACCCCUGUCAUUCGGGAGCAAGGCGUCCGACCUAACACGUCGGAUGUUGAUAGUACCGGAAGAGGAAGGGACGGCUAACUCUGUGCCAGCAGCCGCGGUAAUACAGAGGUCCCAAGCGUUGUUCGGAUUCACUGGGCGUAACGGGUGCGUAGGCGGCCGGGCAAGUCUGGUGUGAAAUCUCGGAGCUUAACUCCGAAAUGGCAUUGGAUACUGUCCGGCUGGAGGUUGGGAGGGGGGACUGGAAUUCUCGGUGUAGCAGUGAAAUGCGUAGAGAUCGAGAGGAACACCAGUGGCGAAGGCGAGUCCCUGGACCAAUCCUGACGCUGAGGCACGAAAGCCAGGGGAGCAAACG